ACGUAGGGGCGAGCGUUGUCCGGAAUUACUGGGCGUAAAGGGCACGUAGGCGGCUGUGUAAGUCAGUAGUGGAAGUCCAGCUUUUAAGGUUGGAAGUGCUAUUGAAACUGUGCAGCUUGAGUGCAGGAGAGGUUAUCGGAAUUCCCGGUGUAGCGGUGAAAUGCGUAGAGAUCGGGAGGAACACCAGUGGCGAAGGCGGGUAACUGGACUGCAACUGACGCUGAGGCGCGAAAGUGUGGGGAGCAAACAGGAUUAGAUACCCCCGUAGUCCCUGA
rnacentral:rRNA from 1 species